UUAAUCUCCGUUUAAAUCCAUGCAUACAAUUUUAUUUUAUUUUUUUGAGAAAUAGAUAACACACUAUUUAUUUCGUUUAUUUUAUUUAGAAAUAAACUUAGCUAGAAAUAUAAAUUAACUAGAAUUUUAUCAAAUCCUUUGCCACUCACUCUAAGAACAGUCUAUUCCAUACAUACAAAUUAGAAUUCUGAUAUGCAUAUAUAUAUAUAUAUAUAUAUAUAUAUAUAAUGUAAGGA
rnacentral:lncRNA from 1 species